AGAACCUCCUAUUGGAAGUGCUCU
rnacentral:siRNA from 1 species